ACACUCUGGUUUCUCUUCAGAUCGUAUAAAUCUUUCGCCUUUUACUAAAGAUUUCCGUGGAGAGGAACAAAUUUGAGUCUUUGCCAAUUUUUUGAGGUCUUGCUUAUUUGCAAGGC
rnacentral:snRNA from 1 species